GGGACACAAGUACUGCCUGUUAGGCCGGCUAUCAUCUGAGGUUGGAUGGAACCUUUAUGACACCAUCAGGGUGAGUCUAUAGUGCCUGGAUUCUCUUGCCAUGCUUAUGUUCUUGGUUUAAUUAGAUGUGCACACGGUGGCUCUUGUUUGAGUUUAUUUUUUUUAUUCUAGUUGUUGGAAUGGCAAUAUUUGAUGGACUUGCUCGAUGUGAUAUUGCCUUUAUAUUGUCAGUUUAAUUAUCAUUAAUUGGUUUUUCUUUUUAUAAUCAUCUGGUUCUGAGGUAAAUCAAAUUCUAUUAAAUUGCUGAUUAAGAGGGUUUUUUUUUU
rnacentral:misc_RNA from 1 species